rnacentral:rRNA from 1 species
AGGGAGCUUGCUCCCGGAUGUUAGCGGCGGACGGGUGAGUAACACGUGGGUAACCUGCCUGUAAGACUGGGAUAACUCCGGGAAACCGGAGCUAAUACCGGAUAGUUCCUUGAACCGCAUGGUUCAAGGAUGAAAGACGGUUUCGGCUGUCACUUACAGAUGGACCCGCGGCGCAUUAGCUAGUUGGUGAGGUAACGGCUCACCAAGGCGACGAUGCGUAGCCGACCUGAGAGGGUGAUCGGCCACACUGGGACUGAGACACGGCCCAGACUCCUACGGGAGGCAGCAGUAGGGAAUCUUCCGCAAUGGACGAAAGUCUGACGGAGCAACGCCGCGUGAGUGAUGAAGGUUUUCGGAUCGUAAAGCUCUGUUGUUAGGGAAGAACAAGUGCAAGAGUAACUGCUUGCACCUUGACGGUACCUAACCAGAAAGCCACGGCUAACUACGUGCCAGCAGCCGCGGUAAUACGUAGGUGGCAAGCGUUGUCCGGAAUUAUUGGGCGUAAAGGGCUCGCAGGCGGUUUCUUAAGUCUGAUGUGAAAGCCCCCGGCUCAACCGGGGAGGGUCAUUGGAAACUGGGAAACUUGAGUGCAGAAGAGGAGAGUGGAAUUCCACGUGUAG